rnacentral:misc_RNA from 1 species
UCUAUUCAUGAACUACAGGUGUGCAGUGGUUCUUCCAUUGACACCUCCCUGUAGCCUUCAUUGAAAUCCCAUCUGUGCAUAUGACUUUUGUUGCUUCCCGUGGAGCUGCCCUCUGCGGCUGCCUACGGGGAGGGAAUCAUUAACUCUGGUUGUUGUGUUCAUAGUCUGAGUGGUUACCACAGUAAACAAGUUA